UACAGAGGUCUCAAGCGUUGUUCGGAUUCAUUGGGCGUAAAGGGUGUGUAGGUGGCGCCGUAAGUCGGGUGUGAAAUUUCGGAGCUUAACUCCGAAACUGCAUUCGAUACUGCGGUGCUUGAGGACUGGAGAGGGACUGAGUAUGUGUAGCAGUGAAAUGCGUAGAGAUCAUGAGGAAGACCAGUGGCGAAGGCGGGUCUCUGGACAGUUCCUGACACUGAGACACGAAGGCCAGGGGAGCAAACGGG
rnacentral:rRNA from 1 species